rnacentral:lncRNA from 1 species
AGCGGAUACGUCGAUUGCCCCUGAUCUUCUCCCGAUGGAAGAAGCCGACUCCGGUGAUUAGUCGGUCUUUUAUUUUUACUUUUCUUUGGUAUACUUGUAAUCGGGCUUCGGCCCAAUUUUGUAAACUUAGCUCGAGCUUUAAUGAAAUCAAAAUCUUCUUAACUUCAACUUUUUCUGUCUCUAUGUAUCCUGGGAUGUGUCUUGUGUGACUCGCCGAAGUGCUUUCGAAUGCAUAAGUCGUAAGCCCAACGUACUAGUUAGGAUGUUCGGUAGGAUCCCAGGUAAUGAUCCAGAAU